CAUAUUUCCUCUCUUGUGUUCUUUAACCUCUUGAGACCCUGUGGCCUCAUAUGAGGACAUUAUAUUUUUGUGAAUUUCUCUGAGUCUGUUCAUGCCACAGUUUUAGAUCUGGAUGUCCUGUACAGAGCACAUUCAGGGCUUUUCAGAGAUACCAAAUGAUUGGAUGUU